GCUGGGCAUGAUGGCGCGUGCCUGUAACCCAAGGAACUUGGGAGGCUGAGGCAAGAGGAUUGCAAGUUUGAGGCCAGCCUCAGCAACUUAGUGAGACCCUGUCUCAA
rnacentral:sRNA from 1 species